rnacentral:rRNA from 1 species
GUGUCAGCAGCCGCGGUAAUACAGAGGUCUCAAGCGUUAAUCGGAAUUACUGGGCUUAAAGGGUCCGCAGGCGGACCAGCAAGUACCUUGUGAAAUCUCAGGUCUCAACCCUGAGUCUGCUAGGUAGACUGCUGGUCUUGAGUGCAAAAGGGGUCGCUGGAACUCUAGGUGGAGCGGUGAAAUGCGUAGAUAUCUAGAGGAACGCCAAAGGUGAAGACAGGCGACUGGUUUGCAACUGACGCUCAUGGACGAAAGCGUGGGGAUCAAACGGGAUUAGAAACCCCUGUAGUCC